rnacentral:rRNA from 1 species
GAUGAACGCUGGCUACAGGCUUAACACAUGCAAGUCGAGGGGAAACGACGGGGAAGCUUGCUUCCCCGGGCGUCGACCGGCGCACGGGUGAGUAACGCGUAUCCAACCUGCCUCUGACUGAGGGAUAACCCGUCGAAAGUCGGCCUAAUACCUCAUGGUAUCGUCUGCGGGCAUCCAACGACGAUUAAAGAUUUCAUCGGUCAGGGAUGGGGAUGCGUCUGAUUAGCUUGUUGGCGGGGUAACGGCCCACCAAGGCUGCGAUCAGUAGGGGUUCUGAGAGGAAGGUCCCCCACAUUGGAACUGAGACACGGUCCAAACUCCUACGGGAGGCAGCAGUGAGGAAUAUUGGUCAAUGGGCGAGAGCCUGAACCAGCCAAGUAGCGUGCAGGAAGACGGCCCUAUGGGUUGUAAACUGCUUUUAUGCGGGGAUAAAGUGAGGGACGUGUCCCUCAUUGCAGGUACCGCAUGAAUAAGGACCGGCUAAUUCCGUG